rnacentral:rRNA from 1 species
UUCCGGUUGAUCCUGCCGGACCCCACUGCUAUCGGGAUGGGACUAAGACAUGCUAGUCGAGCGUCUCCAAGCUAUGGAAGAGACGCGGCACACAGCUCAGUAACACGUGGCUAACCUGCCCUUGGGACAAGGACAACUCCGGGAAACUGGGGCUAAUCCCUGAUAGGUGAGAACUCCUAGAAUGGAUUCUCGCUGAAAGGACGUUUAGACGAUGCUUCUAGGCGUCGCCCAAGGAGGGGGCCGCGACCGAUCAGGUUGUUGGUGAGGUAACGGCUCACCAAGCCUUUAACCGGUACGGGCCGUGAGAGCGGAAGCCCGGAGAUGGGCACUGAGACAAGGGCCCAGGCCCUACGGGGCGCAGCAGUCGCGAAAACUCCGCAAUACACGAAAGUGUGACGGGGCUAUCCCGAGUGCCAUCCGCUGAGGAUGGCUUUUCCCCAGUGUAUAAAGCUGGGGGAAUAAGGAGAGGGCAAGCCUGGUGUCAGCCGCCGCGGUAAUACCAGCUCUCCGAGUGGUGGGGAUGUUUAUUGGGCCUAAAGCAUUCGUAGCCUGCUUGGCAAGUCCUCCGUUAAAUCCAACGAUUCAAUCGUUGGGCUGCGGGGGAUACUGUCCGGCUAGGGGGCGGGAGAGGCCGACGGUAUCCCCGGGGUAGGGGUGAAAUCCUAUAAUCCCGGGAGGACCACCAGUGGCGAAGGCUGUCGGCUAGAACGUGCUCGACGGUGAGGGAUGAAAGCUGGGGGAGCGAACCGGAUUAGAUACCCGGGUAGUCCCAGCUGUAAACGAUGCAGGCUAGGUGUUGGCGCGGCUACGUGCCGCUCCAGUGCCGCGGGGAAGCCGUUAAGCCUGCCGCCUGGGAAGUACGGCCGCAAGGCUGAAACUUAAAGGAAUUGG